GUAACGGCCUACCAAGGCGACGAUGCGUAGCCGACCUGAGAGGGUGACCGGCCACACUGGGACUGAGACACGGCCCAGACUCCUACGGGAGGCAGCAGUAGGGAAUUUUCCGCAAUGGACGAAAGUCUGACGGAGCAACGCCG
rnacentral:rRNA from 1 species